AAAAAUUCAAUUCCUGGACAGGAAAUUGUUGAGCUUCAGCCUGCAUCAGAAGGGAGUCCACUAUUAGUUCCUAGACAAAAAUAUUGUGAGUCUGUGCACAAAACUAUCAGGAGAAAAACUCGCACAGUGAUGGUUGGCAACUGGCUCUCGGUAGUGAGCAUCCUAUAUGAGUUCAAACCAUGACUACAACAGACACUAAAGAUGUUGCUGGAACAGUUGAACAGGUGAUGGGGAUAGCUGAUAAAGAAGCAGACUUAGUUCGAAUAACAGUUCAAGGGAAGAGAGAGGCAGAUGCAUGUUAUGAUUUGA